rnacentral:rRNA from 1 species
GUGAAGCUCCAGCUUGCUGGAGUGGAUCAGUGGCGAACGGGUGAGUAACACGUGAGCAACCUGCCCCUGACUCUGGGAUAACAGCCGGAAACGGCUGCUAAUACCGGAUAUGCACCAUGAACGCAUGUUCUGUGGUGGGAAAGAUUUUUCGGUUGGGGAUGGGCUCGCGGCCUAUCAGCUUGUUGGUGAGGUAAUGGCUCACCAAGGCGUCGACGGGUAGCCGGCCUGAGAGGGUGACCGGCCACACUGGGACUGAGACACGGCCCAGACUCCUACGGGAGGCAGCAGUGGGGAAUAUUGCACAAUGGGCGAAAGCCUGAUGCAGCAACGCCGCGUGAGGGAUGACGGCCUUCGGGUUGUAAACCUCUUUUAGCAGGGAAGAAGCGAGAGUGACGGUACCUGCAGAAAAAGCGCCGGCUAACUACGUGCCAGCAGCCGCGGUAAUACGUAGGGCGCAAGCGUUAUCCGGAAUUAUUGGGCGUAAAGAGCUCGUAGGCGGUUUGUCGCGUCUGCUGUGAAAACUGGAGGCUCAACCUCCAGCCUGCAGUGGGUACGGGCAGACUAGAGUGCGGUAGGGGAGAUUGGAAUUCCUGGUGUAGCGGUGGAAUGCGCAGAUAUCAGGAGGAACACCGAUGGCGAAGGCAGAUCUCUGGGCCGUAACUGACGCUGAGGAGCGAAAGGGUGGGGAGCGAACAGGCUUAGAUACCCUGGUAGUCCACCCCGUAAACGUUGGGAACUAGUUGUGGGGGCCUUUCCACGGUCUCCGUGACGCAGCUAACGCAUUAAGUUCCCCGCCUGGGGAGUACGGCCGCAAGGCUAAAACUCAAAGGAAUUGACGGGGACCCGCACAAGCGGCGGAGCAUGCGGAUUAAUUCGAUGCAACGCGAAGAACCUUACCAAGGCUUGACAUAUACGAGAACGGGCUAGAAAUAGUCAACUCUUUGGACACUCGUAUACAGGUGGUGCAUGGUUGUCGUCAGCUCGUGUCGUGAGAUGUUGGGGUUAAGU